ACCGGACAGGGAGAGAGAGAGAGAGAGAGAGAGAGUGAGGAGAGAGUGAGAGAGAGAGAGAGAAGGACGUCGUCCACGUGCUGGUGUUCACCGCUGGCGCUGAGUAUCCGUGAGAAGAAGCUGUGAGCUGUUAUCUUCUUCACUUGCAGCUAAAUAUCAUACGAAGAUCACCAUUUAGAUGACGUCAAUAAAAAGGAUUUUCGUCUGAUUAUCUACACAGACUUUUACCCAAUCAAGGAACGUAAUGGCUCAUUCUGCAUGCUGCUUCAAUUCUUGCAAGGAAUCAUUCUCUGCAGCCUACUUGGAGAGAGUUCGCAUCAACUGCAGACUACCACUGCGAUAUCCCGUUCCGAAAUGAUUCCUGGAAAACUAAUAUCUUGAUAGUCUGCCAAAACUAAUUGACAGUCACCCAAUUUUCAGGCAACUAAAAUGAUAAAAUCUAGCAUUACAGAUUAACCAUAACAUUUUAAUCUUUACAGAAUGAGUAACAUGAUAAAAGAUAAUUUUGUUCUUACUACCAGGAGAUGAAAAAUACAAAUACUUUAGAGUAAUUUAGUUCAAGAACACACUAAGAAUUUUAUAUAAAGUAAGCUGGCAUGAAUAGUAUACACUGAUUUGUUGAUAGGCAGUUAGCAAAUCAUACAUAAUUGUAAAAUUUGUGCUAAUUUUCAUGUUUUGUAAUUACACACCUUUUAUUUUCCUCAUCACUUGCCAUGUGCAGGUUAGCCAAAAGAUGGUUAAUCUUGAAUCCCUUUGCCAAAAUCCUUAAGUUAUCUUCUUAAGCCUCAGCAAAUUGAAACCCAGAGGGAAACUCAAAGUCAGCCAUGAUGAUACAGGAAAGGCAGGAUCUGAUACUGGAAGCAGGAAGCUUAAGGAAAAAGCACCGCACUAACUGAAGCUCCAGAGAAAGAGAGAGGCCAUGUAUAUUACCAUCCAUUGCUUAAAUUGAACAAAUGGAAAUUGAGAAGGGAAGAUUAGAAGAGCAGGGAGAAUCCCUUUAUCAGUUUCUUCCAAUGGUCAGGCGGCCAGAGGAGACACUCGCCACAAUUCAGAAUUAAGAGACAGCAUACAUUCCUGACCACUGCAGAAAGAACAGUAAGAAUGAGUCAAUGUUAAUGGAGAACAUUAAUCUUGCACACACGAUUUCGUGCCCUGGAUAUCUCCGCUGAUCAUUUUUACCAGAGGAGCAAUCAUCAGGCGUCAUCAUUUGUACGACAGUCAUUGAACGUAAUAAAAAACAAAUAAACAAUCCAGAGUCAUCAGCCAAUCAAUUUAAGAAAUACUUUUAAAAAAUCUUCAAAAGCAGCCAUGGUGAAGACAAGCGGAAGAUGUAUGUUCAGGAAAGCUGCAAAAGAAAAAAUGAUGCUGUUAGUAGACCUGGAGCCUUUGGGAUAACUUUGUGGUACUCGUCCCAAAACCUCCUGCUGAAGCCUCCAAACAUGCCAGCGAUCGCAAGAUCGAAUUCGUGGUGCCCGUAGAAAGAUGCUGGAUCAAAUAUCACUGAAAUGUGGAUUAUAAAAUAUCAUUACUAACUUGCCAUUUACCAAUUAACUUGAGUGUUUUAAAGCGUGUAUCUGAAACUUCACAAACCAAAGGGAAAUAGUGUUUUAAACGGUACAUCUGAAAGUUGCUGUACUGUUUUACAUUCUUCCUGAAAAACACAACGAUGUAUUUUAUACUUCUCAAUUAAGCUGUUAGUGAUUAAUAUCAUCAUCACAAGAGAUGAUCUGAUACCAUAUUUCAUGUAAAUAUGAAGCUAGCAAUAGCCAUGUACACCUGUAUAUCUACUAAGAAGUUUAUAGAAAGUAAAAGUAUAUUAUGUUAUGCCACCUGGCUAGUUGCUAGCAACAACACUGUUUACAUAGAUGUCAAGGCCAUCUUGAAAUUUACAAUUUCCUAUCAAGCCUCCUCCUUCUGAAAAGGGUUCCCAUUAUAUGGUUCCUGUACAACAUUAUCACAGCCACUAUUCAUGCUUGAUAUUACCCUUGAAUGCUCUUCUGUUCAGGCAGAAUGACACCAGUAAAAUAUAAGGUCUGUACAUUGCAUCGACAUGUUUACACCUAUAACUUCCAUUUCUUCAAAACCACUAGAGCAAAUACUUUCCACUUACAGCAGUAAGCCAGAAUCUUAAAACAAUCAGAUGGACGUUCCACAAAGAAAUCUUUGGGAGGUAACUGAAUAUGCAUAAAAGGACAAUAGGUCUUCAUAGAGUACACUAAAUUUGAUACAUCACCUGGACA